rnacentral:misc_RNA from 1 species
AAAGUCGUAACAAGGUUUCCGUAGGUGAACCUGCGGAAGGAUCAUUACCGUGCCUGUGGUUGCCGGCGACUCCUUCGGGGGCUCGUUCGGCGCCGCAUCCGGCCCAACCGUGUCUAUCUAUACCUGUUGCUUCGGCGGGCCUGCGGGCUUGCUCGCUGCCGGGAGCCCCUAAAGCUCCGGGCUCGUGCCCGCCGAAGACACCUGGAACUACUGUUGAAUCUAGCGGUCUGAGUGAACUUAUAAUUAUAUUAAAACUUUCAACAACGGAUCUCUUGGUUCCG